GGGGAUGUAGUCCUGUGGUAGAUCACUUACCUAGCGUGCAUAAGGCCUUGGGUUCAAUCCCCAGUAUCCCCC
rnacentral:tRNA from 1 species